GUUGCAGCCACAAACCCUUCACAUCACGAAGCUUUGUCUCCACAGGCGUUCUGCCUGGUACAGGUGUGACGUGGACUCAGAGGACAGCAUGGUGCUUCAGGGAGUUUUCAAGUGUUCUUGGAUUUGUUUGCUGCUCUUCACCAUUGGAUCCUGUGUGCCUGUGC